rnacentral:piRNA from 1 species
UCAAAAGGCUUAGUAACAACAGUGAGA